AAUUGGGAGAACGCGCUGAGAAGCUUCGCGCACCCAAAACAAAAAAAAACCAAAUACCUCCAAGGUGAGCGGGCGAGAGCAACAGAAACUCGGGGAAAAUGCAGCGCACAAGUGUCGGCUACGGCGCCUUCGACUCCCUUGCCCAGCUGCGUGAUGACUUGCGCAAGUCCUACGAGGCAGCAAAGGAAAUAGAGCAGAGGGACACCACCCUCACCAAGAGCGAAACCGCCAACACUCUCAAAGAGACGAGUGGCCUGUUUGCGCUCGGCAUGGAGAAGCUGAUCUCGCCUGACGGCAGCAUAAUGGAGGUGAAAGACGCUAUCGCCCGCGCAGAGGAUGCGGAGAGAGAGGUGGCCGCUUUGCGGGCAGAGAAGGCGCGUCUGCAGUCGACAGGGCACGGCCACCACAGCAAACUCAGCGCUACCGGCAGUGAUGCUGACGUUGAAGCAUUUGUUGCCUAUGCCAAGGAGCUAUCAGAGCUGCACGACCACCUCUCUCUGGCGCGCGCCGUAUUCAAGGCGGUACUCACGAAGAGACUCGAAGACAUCCGCGAUGAUCGGCUAAGCCAACAGGACAAGCGGUUUACCGAUCCCAAGUCAUGGGAUGCGAAGAAGGGUGCGCUGGAGCGCAUGUUGCAGUCGCUCCGCACCAAGACGGCUCAGUUGCAGCUCUCGGCUAAGACGUACCUGGAUGAGGAUGAGGCGCUGUUUCUGGAGGUCAUGAAUCUGGCGACCGAGGCCGGCGAUCACGUCCGUCGCGGCGAUGCCAUGCGCGAGGCGCGGGACGAAAAGCUGAAGGUGUUCUACGCUGAGUGCGCCAAGCUAACGGGGUGGUGCCGACAGCAGCUGACGAACCUGGAGGCGAUGCAGGAGCCCGACCACGUGCAAGAGUACUGCGCCACACUGGCCGACAACUACCCCACCAUGUCGAACAACUUUGCCGUGUUGUUCAAUAGCGUGCAAGAGUACGUGCAAGCAAACUUGAUACCCGUGCACAAGGCACUGUUAGAGGCGGAAGAGGUAUGGCUCUACCUCCAGGUGUCGACCCUAGAGCGGCUGUCGAAGACGCUCUUCGAGAUCCACCCCAAGUCACCUCUCGAUGUGGAGGUGGAGAAGUACGCGAGCUACCCGGAGCAUGCCGCGAAGUUCCUGCAGGACGUCGAGCGCUACCUAGCGGCGCAGCGCAGCCAGCAGGACGAGCUCGCCGAGCUCGACUCGGCUCAUAAAGAGUGCCAGGAGGUGCUUCACACGCUCUCAGGUGAGUUUGCGGAGUUGCCCAGCGAGGUGCACGCCUUUGCGCAGCGGGCCCAGGCGCUUCGAUUGGGCUAUCAGUGCUUCCGCGAAGCACUACUGCAGCGUCUAACCUACAUUAGCCCGGCUGCGAGCACUGUGGUAGAGUCGAAGCGGCGCCAGGAAGAGUUUGAGAACUGCGUGCGCGAGCUCAAGUCGUGGGCGGCAGAGGCCUCUCACGGUGAAUCAUGGCGAGACAUCUAUAGCAAGAUUGUAGAGAUAAAGCAAAUGAUCAAGAGCGAGCAGGCCUCACUGGAGGGGAAGAGGGAGCGCGCGAUGGCGUCGGCCCAAAGCCGCUAGCGCGAGCACCAAGAGCCAAGCAGCAGACGGCACCGAGACGCAUACAUGCGUGAUCAUGCAUGUCUGUGGACACCUCGGGAGGAGUAACAAGGGGCACCACGAAGGAAGAGGUCAAUGCUGCCACCGCUGGGUGUGUCGUGUGCGGGGUUGCACGUAACUCGCCGCGCACGCUUUCUUUGCUCCUUUCGUGUUGUUGUCUGGGCUUCCUCUCGUCCGUGCGACUCGAGUUGUUUGUCUGUGUAGGCAUGCAGCGCAGGGCGUGUGCCGCUGUCUCCCAUCUCUGCCGUCUGGAGCCAUUUUCUAUUGUGCUCCUUCGCGUUGUGCUGUCUCCUCCGUUACCUUUUCAACACCCCAAGGACGCACUUGCGCGCCGGUCAUGGCUGCGUCGAGCUGCUGUUUGUGUGUCGUUGAUCUCUCUUUCGUUUGGUUCGGCUUAUCG
rnacentral:misc_RNA from 1 species